UUGGCAUGGGCGAAGCCUGUUCCCCCCAUGCCGCGUGUGUNUAAGAACGUCUUCGGAUUGUAAAGCACUUUAAGUUGGGAGGAAGGGCAGUAAGUUAAUACCUUGCUGUUUUGACGUUACCAACAGAAUAAGCACCGGNUAACUUCGUGCCAGCAGCCGCGGUANUACGAAGGGUGCAAGCGUUAAUCGGAAUUACUGGGCGUAAAGCGCGCGUAGGUGGUUCAGCAAGUUGGAUGUGAAAUCCCCGGGCUCAACCUGGGAACUGCAUCCAAAACUACUGAGCUAGAGUACGGUAGAGGGUGGUGGAAUUUCCUGUGUAGCGGUGAAAUGCGUAGAUAUAGGAAGGAACACCAGUCGGCGAAGGCGACCACCUGGACUGAUACUGACACUGAGGUACGAAAGCGUGGGGAGCAAACAGGAUUAGAUACCCUGGUAGUCCACGCCGUAAACGAUGUCGACUAGCCGUUGGGAUCCUUGAGAUCUUAGUGGCGCACUAACGCGAUAAGUCGACCGCCUGGGGGAGUACNGCCGCNAGGUUAAAACUCAAAUGAAUUGACNGGGGCCCGCACAAGCGGUGGAGCAUGUGGUUUUAAUUCGAAGCACCGCGAANAACCUUACCUGGCCUUGACAUGCUGAGAAANUUUUCCANANAUGGGAUUGGUGCCUUCGGGAACUCANACNCAGGUGCUGCAUGGCUGUCNUCCACCUC
rnacentral:rRNA from 1 species